rnacentral:rRNA from 1 species
AUUGAACGCUGGCGGCAGGCCUAACACAUGCAAGUCGAGCGGAGCGGCGGACGCGUGCGUAAUGCUUAGGAAUCUGCCUGUUAGUGGGGGAUAACGUCCGGUACCGGGAGCUAAUACCGCAUACUCUCAGAUGAGCCUAGGUCGGAUUAGCAAGUUGGUGGGGUAAAGGCCUACAAAGGCGACGAUCCGUAUCUGGUCUGAGAGGAUGAUCAGUCACACUGGAACUGAGACACGGUCCAGACUCCUACGGGAGGCAGCAGUGGGGAAUAUUGGACAAUGGGCGAAAGCCUGAUGCAGCCAUGCCGCGUGUGUGAAGAAGGUCUUCGGGUUGUAAAGCACUUUUAGUUGGGAGGCGUUACCAGCAGAAUAAGCACCGGCUAACUUCGUGCCAGCAGCCGCGGUAAUAC